GACGAACGCUGGCGGCGUGCUUAACACAUGCAAGUCGAACGAUGAAGCUGGAGCUUGCUCUGGUGGAUUAGUGGCGAACGGGUGAGUAACACGUGAGUAACCUGCCCUGGACUCUGGGAUAACCCCGAGAAAUCGGAGCUAAUACCGGAUAGGACCUUGGAUCGCAUGAUCUGGGGUGGAAAGGUUUUCGGGCUGGGAUGGACUCGCGGCCUAUCAGCUUGUUGGUGAGGUAAUGGCUCACCAAGGCGUCGACGGGUAGCCGGCCUGAGAGGGUGACCGGCCACACUGGGACUGAGCCACGGCCCAGACUCCUACGGGAGGCAGCAGUGGGGAAUAUUGCACAAUGGGCGCAAGCCUGAUGCAGCAACGCCGCGUGCGGGAUGACGGCCUUCGGGUUGUAAACCGCUUUUAGUAAGGAAGAAGCCGCAAGGUGACGGUACUUGCAGAAAAAGGACCGGCUAACUACGUGCCAGCCGCCGCAGUAAGAC
rnacentral:rRNA from 1 species